UUAAAAUAUAUAAUCAAUUUACAAUGACUGUUUUACCCUUGCAACUUUAUUUGCAUUUAUGUUUGGGUGCUAUUCUAUGAACGUUAUCUUUUGUCCUUUUUCGGGCUUUCACAAAGAAGGAAACUUGUGGGAUGUCAUUUAUUUGACUUUUCCUCUAUAAAUAGAGAGCGUGACGGAGACUACCGUUUGGUUAGAAGCCUCACAAGAUACAUUGCAAAUUUCUAACCAAAUAUAUAUUUUUUGUUUAAAAUAUAUAUUUUUAAAAAUGUUUCCAAUAACUCUUCUAAUCUUAAAUCAAAUACUAAUUUAAUUUUCACAUUUAACUAACAAAUAGUAUAAGAGUAAAUUUAGAAAAGAGUAAUAAUUACACCUUAAAAAUUGAAAGCAUCUAACUUUGUAGAAUUUUUUGAUAUAUCUUAAUUAAAAACUAAGGAAAUAUAUUAUAAACUAAAUGUCGUAAUUGCCAAUUGGUGAAAGAAAAUCUGAUUUCAACGUGAAAAUGAAUAGCAUAGAAAUGUAUAAACUAUACGGAAAACAUGACACUAUUUAGGAACUAGUGGUUAAAUUUCCUAGAUUGAGAAUUUGUUAUAUCAAUACUUUUGUUAAAUUGAUCACCGUUCAAUUUACACGUUAGGCUUGGAAGAAAAUAAAUUAAAUAAGAUUUUGGUCGAAAAAAUAAAAUAAAAUAAAAUGUAUCUUCAAAGAGAUAUAUUACCAAAUAUAUAUCUUUAUAUAUAUAAUAGGCUUUGCUUCUCUCCCACCUAUGCCAACAAGGACGCCACGUCAUAAAUUGGGCUCUCCUGUGCGCGACAUGUGUCCUCUGCACUGCGUUUCAUUAAAGUGUUUUCAUAUUGUUUCGGGCUUGGUGGUGCGCUUCAUCUGUGGCCCAUCGACCACAAGCUUUAAUUAUGUCUUCUAUUGUUCUCCUUCUCAGCCGUAGGAGGUUUUGUGUUUCCAUGGAAACUGAUCAUUCUUCCUCCUGAUCCAUCAAUCAACAGGAGCCGUAGCGAAUCUAGAGUUUCCAGCAAACUAUUCAUCUUCUUCCUACUGAUCAAGUAAUCAAUCGGUUACGAAAUCAUUGCUAUUAAAUUCUCUCUUUAAAUCAAUCUACACGAUCUCUCUUCAAUGCUACUUUAGCUCUUCAAAGGCAGUGGUGGUUCGACUAUAAAAAAGGUUCAACCCACUCUUUCUUCUCCGCCAUUCAGCUACUGCUUACUGAGCACAGAAAAAUUGAUGACUUCCCAGAUCCAGAAGCAAUACGCUAGACGUCAUGUCUCAAUAUGAGGUUAAUUUACUUCUGGGAGAGUGAAUCAAUCAUCUUUUUGAGCGAUCUCCAACAGAAGAUUUUGUUGGUAUUUUUUUAAUGAAAAAUACCGAUGGUACAUUAGUAACAACUAAUGCUGGGAUGGACAUUGCAUUCCGUCGGAAGAGGAGAAAACCGACAAGUAUUGGCGACGUCGACACCAGAUAUUAAGGCAACAACCAUCAGAUUCAACCUUUGAUUUACAGCAAAAACAGUGUUCGAGUGGCUUCACCUCUUUACCUUCUCUUAUUGCUACCAUCGUGUUUGCUUUCCUUGACAUUACCUCUUUAGCUGGACUACCUGGUAAGCAAUUCAGGCCAACAAAAACAACUGCUUAAGUUUUACGCUCAACUUGAGCUUCACAUUUCAUCGGACAACGUGUGCUUCUGUUUACGAUUUUUAUAUUGCCAUUAACUGUUGAUCCAAAAAACAAAUCUAAAGGCCUACAUGAUUUUAUGUAUGUAGAUAAUUAGAAGAGCUUAGUGCUGCAAGCGGUCAAAUUAUUAUGUUAUCAUUGUAUUUUAAGAUCACAAGAUUCCGUAGCUAACUUGCCACUUCAACUAUACAAGGUAACAGAAAUUCUUUGAACCUCAUAGUAAAAGCUACAUCUAUGGUCACUUUAAUGGGUAUGCCUUUUCUGCAUAUCAGUGGUCCAUUUUUGAAGUGCAAAAAGUGGUACUUGGAAAACAAGUAAGUUAAAAAAUUUCUUUAAUUCUGGAUCUUUUCCUCUUCAAGAAAGAUGUAAGAUGGCUUUUCUUAUUUCCAGAUAGACUACUCUUCGUAGCCCUGUUUGUAACCUCAGUACAUGUGAUGGUGAGAUAUGCUUAUUCAAAUUUUAGAAUUGAUGUUAGUCUUUUAGUCCUUCCAAUAAAAAGAUCGCAGAUUAAAAUAUUUGUUUCUUUUGUAGGAAUAAUUCAUACACUAACGUUAGGAACAUUUGGUAUUUUAAAUGAAAGCUGUAAAAUGGAAGAUGAGAUUCUAUCUUACUGGAUUUCAUAAGUUUCACAGAGACGAGAGUAUAGCUUCUUUCUUUUGUCAAACACAAGUUAUUUGUUUUUUCAUUAUUUUAGUUACAAAUGUGUUUCUAUGUGCUCUUUUGAUUUGUUGAAAAAGAGGUAGUAGAGAAGACGAAUUACACAAACACAUAACAUGGAUAUGUUGAUGAAUGUUUACGAAAAAUAUAACAUACAUGAUGAGUGACUGGCUAAAUCAAUAAUAGAUAGAUUAAAAGUUGUAUAGGAACAAAAGCAUUUUAGGUGACGCUGAAAAAUAUGCAUAAAAAGAAGGAAAUCUGCUACAUCUAUUUGUAUUCACACCUGGUCAAUUAUAUUUUGCAUUAUCAAGAGUAGUGAUUACGCAAAAACAAACCAAAUGUGCGACUAUCUUUGAAUAAACCAGCUAGGUAACAAAUUCUUUUGCUUAUGUUUGUGUUCCAUUUAUGAUUUAUUGCAGAUAUAGGAUUUAGUUUACAAGUCGGAAGCCCAUAAGAAAACACAUCUAAGUUAAUUAUAAAAUGUAACUAUGUAAGGUCAUAUUUUUCCCUCGCAGACGAUGCUUCUCGAAGCUCUAAUGAAUUAAUCUGAUGCUUCAAAAACUAUAACAAUAAUGCUUCUUUGAUGGUCUGUUUCUCUGUCUCGGUAGGCUUCUUCACCCAUUUUCUCUACCAUAUUUAAUUAGUAUCUUUACCACUCAAACGACUCAUAUCUUGUGGGUAAAUACUAUGAAAGCUUCGAUUGGAAUUUUGAGCAUAUUAGCAUUGGCACAUAUCGAUAAGAACUCGCUACAACCGAGUAAACUAACUAUGGCGGGUAUUUGUUUCUUAACUACCAAAAUUUAUGUCUUUAAAUACUAGACUUUGCGGAUGUAGAUUUGAGUAGGCUUAUUUUGGAGAUAAAUAGUGUGGAAAAUUAUUGUAGUUCAAGAGUUUCUGAAGUAUUUUGGUGGAAAACAUUUGCUACGAACCAGCUGGGAGACCAACUCCUCCCUAUUGCUCUUAGUCAGACCCUCAAACCAGCUCUUAUGCGGUUUGGUUCCAGUUCCAAGUUGAUAAGAAAGCGAAAAGGCUUUUACUUUCUCUUCCAAUGAAUUUUAUUUGCAGAA